UUUGACUUUGUAUAUAUUGUCUUUAAAAACUGAUAGCAGCAGUCUCCCCUGCUGCCCCACCUUUUUAAGAUAUCUCGUUUACUGUGCUAGGUAUAUAGACAAUAAAUGUGUAAUGAUAGACAGUUCUAAAAGAAUUAAAUGCAAAAAAGUGCUUUUACCUCUAGUUAACUCUGAUAUUUUCCAGAGGGCCCCUGGAACAUGUCAGAAGAAUUUUUUCUCAUUAGAGAAAGUAUUUGACUAAUUUGGCUUAUUUAUCUGAUAUAUAUAUAUAUUUACCAAGAAAGCACUGUCAAAGAAAAUAAUGCUAAACUUUGUUACUGAAUGUUUUGUAUUACAGAAAUAUCAGAAUUUCCUUAUGUCAACUGUCUUACAGUGAGCUCUCGUUGAAUCUUUGACCAUUGUCAUUUGUAAGUUUUUUGUCAUUUAUAGUCACUGUUUUGUUGUUCCUGGACUGGUAAAGAACUGGAUUUCAGCAGAACAGGUAUUAGUUACAUAAGAUUACAUAAACUAAAGAAAAUAGUUUUGUGUCUUUUUGUUUUGAAUGUUGCUGAUAGUGUUUUGAGCUUGUUCUCUUAAGCUGACAACAGUUUAGUAGAUGGCUGUCUUUAUAAGCAGAAUUGAGACAUCCUUCUCUCUACCUGAUCCCUACAGAGUUUAAAAACUUUUGGUGACUGUUUUUGUAUUCCAUGGCAGUAUGUUUGUUUGCACGAGUUUAGUAAGAAUCUGCUUUCCUUGUGAGAAGACUAAUUAAGAACACUGGUUAUACUGCCAGGGCUUUGGCUGAAAUGUCAUACCUGAGAGACAUGUGCAUAGACUCAGAUGUGAACAACUUUAAAGAACUAAGAUUGACUUUAUAAAGCCAACAAAGCCCCUUAGAAGAACUAGCCUGGUACCUUGCUUGCAGAGUUCCCAGCAGCCUUACCAGAAGCCACAAAACUGCAAAUAGUAAUAGAAGCGAAACCCAAGAUAGAAGGGCCAGCCUUCUGAAGCCCUCUCAACUGACCAGUGAUAGAGACCUAGCUGCACCCUUUACUGCGCCCCCUUCUCAGCACGAAGCAGCCAGAGCGGUCAUCGCCCCUUUUCCCUAGCAGCAGCUAGAGUCUCUACCUGUAGAAGAGAGAAUGAGACAGGGACCAUAGGCUUAGACAGAAUAAAGUAAGAGCCUCUGGAAGAGGCGGGGCGGGAUAUUUGCAAUCAGAGCAAUGUAACUACAUGCUGGAACUCCCCCCUACUAGAACUAUGUUAAACAUGAAACUCUAGAAUCAUUCUUCAGUGAGAUCAGUUAAUGUUCCCCAGAUAGAGAAGAGUAGCACAUGUUUUGUUAUGCUAGUCAUUUGUAAUCGUGUAUGAGAUUCGCUUUGGCAUACUGGAGGGCCUGGGCCUGUGUGCUGUCUUUCCUCCUUCAGAUCUGACUAGGUAAUUUUGCAAGCUGAGCAACUGACUUAGCAUACAGACCCAGCUGUAGACGGCAUAGUAAAAAGCAAGAUUCUUUAGCAAAUAGACAAUAUCUCAGCCCACCUUAGAGGCUGGGCAUGCAAUCUUUUGAUGUGCUCCCGAACCAAGGCGCCAGUGUCCCAGAGAGAAAUCAAGGAAAGAAAUUAUCUUUAAUAUUCAAAGACCCCUUCCCCGUUACCCAGACUGACAACCGCGAUUUAUAUAAUAAGUUAAAAGCUCUCCAGGCAGUCCAAAGAGAAUUGUAGACCUAACUAAAAGCAGUCUACGAGCCCGGCACUUAAGAAGCAGCCCACCCGUUCCAAGUUAAAGACUUUGUGUUUGUAAGGUGACACCGAGCGCAGACCCUUGAGCCACGGUAGAAAAGACCCUACUUAGUGUUGCUGACCACCCCAACAGCAGUAAAAGUUGACAGGAUUGCCACCUGGAUCCACGCAUCUCAUGUGAAACCCGUUGUCUCAGCCGAGACAGCUGACAACCAUCUCACGUAGAGAGCCCAACCUACUGAGAAUCCUCUCCAGCUUAAAAAUCACCAGAAGACCCCUAAAGUGACCAGGUGCGUGUCCAGAGACACCAACGCCAUUUAGCUGACCCAUGCACCAUUCUCAAAAACUCUAUUCCAAGAUAACCACGUCAGCUGGACAAAGACAACCCUCAAAAGCUAAGACUGCGCCGUUCAUAUUGUGCCUUUCCCCUAUUGCACUACCAAACAGAUGACCUCUAAUUUCAUGAUUGAAAUAGUUACAAGAAGAAGAGGGGAAUGUAAGAAUGAGAAUAAGUUAGCAUAAGAGUAGCCAUCUUAAGGGCCUAGAAGCAGUUUUCUGAAGUUGUGACUUAAAAGAAAAAAAAACUGGAACUGGGUAAGGCCUUGGAAAACAAGUUAAUCAUGAACACCGGGAUGGGGGCAGCUGUAGCCUUCAGUCAGCUAACCUUGGUCAGUUAAUCCUACAUACCAAGCUUAUCAUGCAGAACCUCCCUAACAAUUGAGGAGUGGCCUUAUCUUGCUCUCGCUUAACCCCAGGAUGUAUGUCUUGCAAAGAUAAUGUGCAGCUGUAGAAAAUUACUAAGAGUUAAGUGUUUUAAAAAUGCCAUAUAAACCCUUGGUUUUGAGUGCUCGGGGUCCUUGUUGAGACCCGCUGCGUCGGGCUGACACUUGGACCCCAGCUAGCUGGUCUCUAAAUAAAUUCCUCUUGCUUAUUGCAUCAAGAGACGCCUUUCGUGAGUGAUUUGGGGUGGCGUCCUCCUCUGAGAAAAUCCAGCAACAGGUAUUUUGCCCUGGGACUUUCUCUCUGGACUUACACUCAGUUCUGCACACUCGAGAAGGUCUUUGAGGCCAAUAAUAUUGGGAAUGCCCAAUCCUAAGUGACUAGUAUGUCCAGGGGAUGCAGAAGCCUAUCUGAAAGAGCUCCCAGUGGCCAAAGCUGGGAAAAUUUGAGCAAUGAAAUAAAUUACAGAGUGCUGGGUGAUACCUGAGAACAUGAAAUGAAGAUACACGAGUCCACAGUGUUAUAAGUAAAAGAUCAGAGAAAUAAAUACGUGGAGACAGAUCUUCCAGAUAAAUAAUUCCACAUCAUAUAUGUAGACAUGUCCCCUCCAAGAUGGAAAACUUAAAUCACCACCUUCUUGAGUGCAGCCUGGACUUACGAAAUUGCUUAGAAAGAGCAGACUAUGCAAAAGGAAAAUUGAAACUGUGCAGUGGCAACGUCUGGCAGAGACCACCUGAACCAAAUGGUCAAGAUUAACUUGACCAGUUACCAAAACAAUCAAGAUUAACAUCAUCGUUAAUAUUCAGGGGAUGUCAGUUACAUCUAACUCAAAUUGAGGGACAGUCUAUGAAAUGCCUGACUGUUGGGCAAGAAAAUAUAUGUGAGAAGGUGGAAAAGAACAAGGUCAGUAAAGCCUCCUAGAAAGGACUCAGUUGACCAGUUAAAACUAGAAAGCCAGGAAAGUCUCAGAGUUAAUGAGUUAAUCAGUUAAAGCGCAAAAGGUCAAGAGCAACUUGGCCUUGAACGUUGAAUAUUCCCCAGAUAAAGAGAAGUAUCUGAGCACAGCCCAUGUCUUCAUUGUGUCAAUUAGAUCAUUGAAAGAUUUACUUCAACCUGCUAUAAGGCCCACCUAUAAACAGCAAAAUAAAGACAGGAAGAUCUCACCUUAAAGCCAAAAUUGUAUUUUGUAAAAACCCAGGAAGUUUAAGAAGAAAGUUUCUCAACAUAUUCUUUAGCAAACAACAAACAAACAACUCUGCCCAUUGUGGAGGAAGGGCAGACAAUCUUGAUUGAUAUGCUCCCAAACCAGGAAGCUGCUAAGCUGGGAGGGAACCAAAGCAGUAAAUUUCUUGAGUUAAGCUAAUUUUGCAGAAUUACCCAGAGGACUGAUAAGAAACUUAAUGUCUCAUUAAAGAUACCUAAGACCACUUAACAAGUCCACACCCCUAGCCCUUUCUCACAUUUCUGAAAAAUCCUUAAAAGGGGGAACCCCCAACCUUUCAGGGUGCUCCUCUCUCUGAGGUCACCACUUUCUCUCUAAGUAACUUUAAAUAAAACUUUUGCUCUGCUUCACGACUAUGUCUCUGCCCUUCAAUUCUUUGUCACGGUGGGGACAAGGACCGAGGAUAAUGCACAACGCCUCUCCUGAAACAUGUCCAGGGCUCUUCACAACUGUCAAGGUCAAUAAAAAGAAGGAAAAUCUGAGAAAAUUCCACAGACCAAAAGAGACACAAGAGAUGAUGGCUCAAUGUUAUUUGGAAUCUGGGUGGAAUCUUAGAAGAGAAAAAGGAUAUUGGAGGAAACAUUGACAAAAUCCAAAUGAAGCCUGGAGGUUAGCUAACAGUUGUGUCACCAGUAGUUAAUUUCUUGAUUCUGUUCACUGUACAAUCAUUAUGUGAGAUUUUAACAUUAAGGGAAACUGGGUGACUGGUAUAUAGAACUCUCUCUGUACUAUCUUUGCAAUUAUCCUAUGAAGUCAAAGUAUUCCAAAAUAAUAAAUUAUUAAAGUGGAA